rnacentral:misc_RNA from 1 species
UCCAAACGGAUUUUCGAGUUUUCACUUUGUUUUGCUACUUUUGGUUCCUCAGAUCCGUCGUUUUUUAUUCUUUAAUUGUAGUUUCCCUGUCGUUUCGUAUUGCUCCGUUUGGUUGCUGAGUUACUGUAGUACAAGGGGAUAUAGAAUUUUGAUGUUUGAAUCUAGAUUUAUUACGUAGCCUAACUUUGAUUUUUAGGCUUUUUUUAUCUGCUGAAUUCGAGGAUUAUUCAGUUUCAUGUUUAGUUGAUUAUUGGGUAUUGUUUUAAGAUCAAUUCAAGUUUCUGUUGUACUUUUCUCUUUGUUUACUCUCUUAUUCUUUAUUUCUUUUUGAAGCAGGUAGUGUAAUGGCGAAUCGAGUGAAAGAAGAUGAGAAGAAUGAAAGAAUAAUUCGGGGACUUCUGAAACUUCCCGAGAAUCGCAGGUGCAUUAACUGUAAUAGUCUGGGACCGCAAUAUGUUUGCACAAAUUUCUGGACAUUUGUUUGCACCACCUGUAGUGGAAUACAUCGGGAGUUUACACACCGAGUAAAAUCAGUAUCAAUGGCUAAAUUUACUUCACAAGAAGUUACCGCUCUUCAAGGAGGAGGAAACAAGCGUGCAAGAGACAUUUAUCUUAAAGAAUGGGAUGCACAGCGUCAGUCUGCCCCUGAUGGCAGUAAUGUUGACAGGCUUCGAGACUAUAUUAAACAUGUGUAUGUGGAUAGAAGAUACACUGGUGAGAGGAACUAUGGAAAGCCUCCAAGUGUAAAGUUGGGUGACAAAGAGGACUCAUACCAAGGAGGGUCUCGAAGUCCACCAUAUGACGAUACAUAUGAGCGCCGCUACAGUGGAAUGUCCAGUCCUGGUGGACGAAGUGAUGAUAGGAAUUCUAGAUAUGCAUAUGAUGAAAGAAGAAGUCCUGGAUAUGAUCAAGAAAAUCGACAAUAUAAUGAUUACAGGAGAAGUCCUACUCGUGCUGAGAUAGUUAAUGAUUGGCGAAGGGAGGAUAGAUUUGGAAAUGGAAAGAGAGCUGACGACCGUAGAGUAUCUGAAGGAGACUCAAAGCUGGAAAGCAGGUCACCUGAACCGCUGAAAGAUCCAGAGGUUUCUAGUCCUCCUGUUGUACGCCCCGUUAGAGAAAUUUUGGGAGAUAAUGUGGUGCCUCUUCGUAUAAGUGAACCUCCCAAAACCAAUGUUGUAAGGGCUGCUGAUGGCUCUGCACAGACACAGGGAAAUGCAUCUGCUAGCAGCUUAGGUUCCACCAAUGGGAAUCUGAUGGAAGUUAAAGCGGAGAGUACUGCAAGCUUAAUUGAUUUUGAUGCUGAUCCAGAACCACCUGUUACCACUGCAGUUCCUCAAGCACAACAAACAAUUGUGUCUCAAUCCAUUGCACAACCUGCAAGUACAACAAGUGAUAACAAUUGGGCUUCUUUUGAUUUUGCACCUGAGGUUAAGGUAUCUCAAGAAAAUGCGAAUCCACUGGAAUCUGUUAUCUCACAAUUGGUGCUGCCAGCAUCAGUACCUGGUCAAAUAUCUGGAAUGUCAAGCGUUUCUGGUGCUCCAGUAGCUGCAUCUUUAGGCAAUGUAUCAAAUUUACCAAAUGCAACUGCUUCUUCUGCUGUGUCAGCUGGGAAUGCACCUAUAUUGCCUCUCAAUACUGGUGCUACAAUUUUUCAUCCUGGUGGUGUUUCAGUGGCUGCCCCUGGUUUGGCAGCUGUAAUGCCUGUCAAUGGUGGUCCUUCCUUUGUCAAAGUUAAUGAAACAGGCCAAUGGCCUAGAGUGCAGCAUCAGCAACCUUUUCUAUUCCCUGCUUCUAGUGUUCAGUCUACUUCUCAACAAUUUAAACCACCACUUGAUGGCACUUCAGCUAAUCAGUCAUGGAAUUUAUCAGUGGCCCCUAAUAUGCAAGCGGCUUUGAGUAAACCAUCUGUUGGAGCCCCUCAAGUCAUCUCUACACCUUCCUUAGUGGUUGCUUCUGCUGGUGUAUCACAGCCACCAGCUGUGGAAGUCAAAUCAAGUGGAAGAAAAGAACUGCCUGAGGAUCUUUUUGCUGCAACCUAUCCAUCUUUCCAUGCAGCUGUUCCAGGGUGGCAAACUGGUCCUCCCCGUGGUAUGGGGUUCGCUAUGCGAUAUAGUAAUGCUGCAGUGCCGAUGCCUACUUUGAUUCAGCAAUCCAAGUCAACGAACCCAUUUGAUCUCAAUGAGCCAUCUUCAAUGCAAGUUCAUACUUUUCCUUCCAUGGCAUCCUUGCGAGGUGCUCUCCCAAAUAUGCCACCAUCUUCAGGCUUACAGCGCACCUCUAGUCUUGGUGCUCCAUCAUCAGCAUGGAUGCCUUCUCAGUCAUUGCCUUACCCAUCAGCUCUGCCUCCCCAGCCACCGUCUUAUGCAUCAGCUAUGCCUCCAAGGGCAUACAUGGGACAAGUAUCAAGUAACAUGCCAAUUUCUGGGCUGCAAGGAGUAGGAGGGUUAGGCACCGAGGGAGGUGCUUUUGGUGCUAUAAAUAUGGAUCAACAGUUGGCCGGUAGAAUCUCAGCCCCUGCUACCCCAUCACCUUUCUCUUCUGUCGGAGGGAACCCAUUUGGAUGAGCAUGUGCAAAAUGUAUUGUUGUCUUGAUUUAGAGGAAGCAUCAACUCGUUGCGUCCUUCAAAUUGCUGUCUGGAAAGUUUUGGUUUUAUUAUUUUACUUGAAUCAUCCAGCCAGCUUAAACAAUGCCCAUGUUUAUCAAUUGUAAGGGUCAAAUGUCCAUAUCAGCCCUGAAAAUUGACUUGAAUGAGAGUGAGCAGGUUUAUAAAUUGUAAGGCUGGACACCUCCAUGGGGAUUUAGGUUUAUUUUUCAUGUGCCUAUGUUUGUAUCGUUCAUUGGAUGAUCUGUGUUGGCUGCCAUCCCAGAAUUUGUAUAAUUUUUGUUUGUUGCCUGCUGCCCCCAGAAGUCGUCAUUGCCCCCAUUUCCAUGUAUGAUUUUUGUAAUUUCUUCAUAUAGUGGCGAACCGUUGAGUCUGAAAAGCUUGUGGAACAAUUACAAACAGUACAGUUUGUAUGCAUAUAUUGUUGAAUAUUGAUAUGAUUUUU